AACGAACGCUGGCGGCAGGCCUAACACAUGCAAGUCGAACGCAUCGCAAGAUGAGUGGCGUACGGGUGAGUAACACGUGGGAAUGUAUCCUUUGGUUCGGAAUAACGUCUGGAAACGGACGCUAAUACCGGAUGAGCCCUAUGGGGGAAAGCUUUAUCGCCGAAGGAGCAGCCCGAGUCUGAUUAGGUAGUUAGUGGGGUAAAGGCCUACCAAGCCGACGAUCAGUAGCUGGUCUGAGAGGAUGAUCAGCCACACUGGGACUGAGACACGGCCCAGACUCCUACGGGAGGCAGCAGUGGGGAAUAUUGGACAAUGGGCGCAAGCCUGAUCCAGCCAUGCCGCGUGAGUGAUGAAGGCCUUCGGGUUGUAAAGCUCUUUCGCACACGACGAUGAUGACGGUAGUGUGAGAAGAAGCCCCGGCUAACUUCGUGCCAGCCGCCGCCGUAAUAC
rnacentral:rRNA from 1 species